rnacentral:rRNA from 1 species
UAAAACGUAGGAGACAAACGUUAUCCGGAGUUACUGGGCGUAAACGGGCGUGCAGGGUGGUGGGUUAAGUCUGGCGUGAAAGCUCGCGGCUAAACCGCGAGAGGUCGUUGGAUACUGGCCGACUAGAGGACGGUAGAGGCGAGUGGAAUUCCGGGUGUAGUGGUGAAAUGCGUAGAGAUCCGGAGGAACACCAGUGGCGAAGGCGACUCGCUGGGCCGUACCUGACACUCAAACGCGACAGCAUGGGGAGCGAACGGGAUUAGAAACCCCGGUAGUCCAUGCCGUAAACGAUGCCAGCUAGAUGUUCAAGACGCGCAAGCGGCUGGGGUAUCGAAGCCAACGCGGUAAGCUGGCCGCCUGGGGAGUACGGUCGCAAGGCU